rnacentral:rRNA from 1 species
UACAGAGGCCCCAAGCAUUAUCCGGAAUCACUGGGCGUAAAGGGUGUCAAGGCGGUCAUGUUAGUCGUUCGUAAAAUCCGGGAGCUCAACUUCCGGCCCGCGAGCGAAACGGCAUGACUUGAGGUUGGGAGAGGUGUGUGGAACUCACGGUGUAGGGGUGAAAUCCGUUGAUAUCGUGGGGAACACCAAAGGCGAAGGCAGCACACUGGCCCAAAUCUGACGCUCACACACGAAAGCCAGGGUAGCGAACGGG